AAUAGGCGUAACUCUCUUCCUAAAACAAUAUUGAUUGAUCUCCUUCCCAAAACAACAACGAUGGCCUCCUUCCCCUCUUCUCCUCUUUCAACCUUCUCCUCUCACCCCAAAUGAGAAAUCUUAAGAUCUCCAUAGCUGGCCACCGUCUGCCACCUACCCAUAUGAAUCUUUCAUUUUUAUCACCCCAAGCCAGCAAAUUACCAAAAAUCAGAGAAAAUCAGUCCCUAAUUUGUGCAAAAAUGAAAAUUUCUGAGGAUUCGCAGCUAAAGCUUGAUAAAAACUGAAAUUUUUGUAGAUGAAUGUCAUAAUUUUGAAUUCAAAUCUCAUCUCCAUAAAAAUAUGCUUCAAAUCCAGACUUUGGAGUUCGGAUUUAGGCUAUAAAUAGCCCCAAAAUCGCCAUCAUCAGGAAAAACUUAGAGAUUAAAGGAAAAACUCGACAAGAAGCCCAAGUUUGCUGCACAAUACAAGGUGUGAAUCUGCUUCCUUUUAAUUCAUUUUCUUUUUCCUCCCUUUGUGCAUGUCGAUUCUGUGAAUACGAAAUUCAUUGUGAUCGCUAAUUAGUGUUGUUGUUGUUGUCUUGGCGUUACGGAUGGGAGUGUGGUUAUAAUUUAGUUAUUUGAUCCUCGAGCAUGUCCUUUAAUUUAGAUUCUGGCUGAAAAAAUGAUUUUUGGUACAAGUUUCGAUCAAGUUGUAAGUUGUCGUUAAUCCCAGUGGGUCUAAAUGUGAUCGUUCAUCGGGUUUAAGUUGUUGUUUGGGUGUGAGUGGUUAAGUAUUAAUUCUGUUAGUCUGUAGAACUAGGUGUACAAUGUGAAUUUUUUAUCAAGCUUACGUUGGUUUUGACUCAGAAAUUGAUUCGUGUAUAAAUGUGUGAUUCUCUUGUUGUUACGUUUAACCUAUUUUGCUUUUGCCGAAAAACACAACUUUUGCAGUCAUAUUAUAUGUAUGUAGGAGUCUGUGUGCAUGCCUCGCUCUUCCCUUUACUCUAUUUCCUUUCAAACUUCAAAUACAUGCUUAAUAUGGUAUCACGAAUGACUUUUAAAUAUAUACCAUGCCUUUGAUUGUGUGAAUUUCCCCUUCCUGCUCUACUUUCUCUUCAUCUCAUUUUUUUAUUUUAUUUUUAUUAUUAUUUUUGAGACAUGUUGUUUUCUGUCUUUAAGUUUUGUUGUUGAUGCCUUCAUCGACCCCGUGAAUAGGAUAAAUCUAACUUCGUGAAAUUGCCUUUGGUUCAAAACCAACUUUUAUGAAUACAUGACCGAUAAAUACGCGAAUGGUUUGGGCUACCUCAGAUUCGGUUCAUAUUAGCACCUAUGUUCGCUCCCUACAAACUAAGUUUAGUAUAGAGCUUUGAAGUUGUCCAGUUGCUUGAUGUGGUUGCUUUAAAUAUUAAUAUUGUUUGUUGCUGCAUUUGGUCCUAUGAGCAAGUAUCCGGGUCUAUCUCAAGAUCACAUUUAUGUAUAUACAAGUUCUUGGGCACGAAAAUACAAGACAUAAUUUGGUUUGAUUUCCGAUUAUGGUAUUGCUGUCCAUUUUUUUGUAAAAUCAGGUCCGACAACAUGAUUUUAUUUUAAGUUACAUGGUUGUCCAUUUUACAUAGAUAUGGUUUGGGUUCGUUUAUUGGGUAUAUAGCAAAGUCCAUUUUGAUUCGUUUGUCGUAAAACAGACAUCUCCUUAUAAUAAAGAUAAGAGGUUGCAAUUUGAAGUCGUUAUCUAAAUUAGACGGUUAAGGCUCGUGUAUAUUUGGCCUAAGCUUUUUAAAACAAUUUGUUACCAUUUUAAUUUUUUUACGCACUGCACUACUUGAAUUAAAGUGAGCAGGGAAUAGUCUCAAUUAAAUUUUGUUUCAUUCCUACACAUGGUUUGAAAACCAAGAUAAUAUAAUUCAUUUUUGUGAAGGUGCUUCACUCUUUUGGUAUAACUUAACACUAUCAUCACAUAAGCACUUUUCAUAUGAUUUCAAUCUGUAAGAACUUUGUUUGGAGCAUGUCCAGUCAAAAAAAGAAGAGAAAGUCGACCUUAGCUUGCAUAUCUCGUCUAUUACUUGUCAUGGGAGUAUGUUGUAACAGGUUGUUUAAAUUCGUUAAUUGUUUCUUGUCCUCUUGAAUCAAACUAGCUUUUACAUAUGGGAAUACAUGUGUGAAACAUUUUUUCACUAGUGUUUAAUACGUGCUUAUAUUGGUAAGUGACUGUGUUCUUUGAAGCCUACUUAGACAAAUUGUAAAAAUGUACAUUUCUUUAGAUAGACCAAGUGAGUGACUUUGUUGCUAGUAUUACUCACGCGUCCAUGAUAUAGGUGAUGUUUUAGUUAGUAAAUGGAGAUCAUUGGCCUCGAUUGACGCCAUUUUACUAUUGUUAUUCACGUAAGUAGUUAUAGAUUUUGGGUACUUUAUUCUUACAAUUGCUUGAAGGGCAUGAGUUGGGUGCCUAUAUAUUUGAGCGUCUCGAUACUGGUUUGUGAUCUAUGUCAUACUAUUGGAGUAUUUACUUGUUAUCCUUAAUCCUUUUUUAUAUAUAUUUAGCUUGUUUCUAAUCUGUUUCCUUAUUCUUUUCUUUUACAUGUACACUUGGGAGCUGGAGUUCCGCAGUGGAACUCAAUUUGACCCGUAGAAUUGGGUUAACGGCUAUAGGAUCACAGAGCUUGGGGUCUAAAUCGCUAGGAGCCGUUUCCUUCUAUGAGAGUUUAUAGUAUCUAGUCCUUUACCUCUCUCAUGACUUUAUUAUUCGUGUUUGUUUCACUAAGUUUGUGUUACUUUGAUUAUGAAUUUUUAUGUGGCCUUGAUUGAAAUUGAUUACCUUAGUUAAUUUAAUUUUGUUUAAACUUUUAAUCAUCUAGAAUUGAUUUUAUUCGGCCAAUUUCAUAUUUAUUUGAUACUCGUAGAUGUAAUAAUGGUAUCUAUGGUUUAACCACUCCUUGUUACCAUUUUAACCUACGAAUCAAACUUUUUAAUAGUAAAUGGUCAACCUUGUCUUUUAAAUGCAAUUUCAAAGGGAAAUAUAUUUUUGUAAUUGAAAUAAAAUGUUUGGUUAUAGUCCUUUUGCAAAAUACUUAAUUAAUGAGUUUUAUCACUUUAAUUAAAAAAUUUCAAAUAAAUAGUUAUAAAUAGGUUUCAACUAGUUAACCCUCUUAUGUUUUCAAGUAGCUCAUCUAUCAAAUUUGAUUCUUCGUUUAACUCAGCAUAAUCUAAACGUUUAUUACUUUACACUUAUUCCUAACGUUAUUUUAAGUUUUCAGAUUUUACAAAUCUCCAAACAGAAGGUAUGCAGACAUUCGUACACUACCAUAUAUAAGGAAUAUUUUUCACUAUUACUAUUCUUAUUCUUACUAUUGUACUAUUAUUACAUAUUAUCAUUUGUGUGUUAUAUCAAUUCUGCUACCACAUUUUGCUUUACUCACUUUCAAUAUAUUGAAAUCUCAUAAAUCAAGUAAAUUUUUGCAUCUUUCAUAUACUCUCACAAAUAUACAUAUUUAUGUUUAUCUUACAAUGAAUGAACUCUCGCAUACUUUAGAGUAUACUUUUCUAUUUUUAUAACAACUUGUUUAUGUAUUUGACUUAAUAUACCUUUAAACAUAUUUUCAUAUAAAAUUAUGACACUUCUAUAUUUUCUACUACAGGUAUAAUAAAGGUACUACUCUUCUCCAUAUUUCUGAAAACAUUCAUAUAUGUAUUUUGCAAUUGUCAUAUUACGUCCUUGUGUAUUAUAGUAUUACAUCUUAUAUAACUUGAAUAUCAUUUUCGAUAAUAAUAAAAGUUUUCUCAUCAUUGUUUUAAGCAAAUAACAAAAUAAAGUUUUUCUAAUAUUUUUCUAAACUAAGCGUAAGGACUAUCUUCGGAUAGACCCAGAGGGGUGCCUAACACCUUCUCCUCGGGUAACCAAAACUCUAACUCCGAAUCUCUAAAUAUUUUUGAAAGAUCAAAACAGAGUUUUCUACAAAAAAAAAUGGUUUUUCCUAAUUUUCCUAAAAAGUUAGGUGGCGACUCUAAAAAAUAAUUUUCAAAUCCCAAGAGUUACUAAACGCUACCAUACGUCGUGUGUUAUUUCGACUGGUUCGAAAUAGGGUGCGACGGAAUGACAACUCUACUGGGGAAUAAUGAACUUAGGUUUUUUAGCUUAACAUGCUUAGUUUAGGAUUUUUAUGUUUUAUUAUGUUAUUUGCUUUACGUAUCUUUAUUAUGUUAUUUGUUAUUUGCUUUACGUAUCUUUAUAUGUUAUUUGUUUUUGUGUGAAAGGACAGUCAAAUCCAAACUUGUGUUCCUUAUUUGUUUGAACAACACUACUUGUUACUGCUUUAUCACUUGCAUUUUCCUAUCGAGUCUUUGGCCGUACACAAUUCACACACUAUGGUUCACGCGGGGGGUGUAUCUAUACUCCCCUAAACCUUCUUUGGAUUCCUUAGUUUCAGAGUUGAUGCAAUUAGAUUAGUGCACCUUCUCGCAGCUAUUCAGUCCUAUUCUCAAAUAUUUAGGAAAAUAUCUUACUUUAGAAAUAGGUCAUGUCACAUAAACCCUAGGCACGACGGUCCAAGGCAAUGUCAUCGCAAUUAGGAAACCACCCUUUUGUCAAAGGUUACAAACCUGUCGACAUAUUUUGUGUGAUGAUUGAUGUUAACGGUCUAAACUAAAAUAGAUAAUGAAUUUGAGAUAAACGACUUAUCAUAUCAUUUACCCUUUCUUUCAGAUGGAUACCAACCAAACCAUACUAAACAUCCAAAUGAUUGCCUUAGUCCCCCAAAACUUACAAACCUGGUAGCAAAAUAUUCAAGCCGUGCAAGGGUCCAAAGUCAGAGAACACUUAGGCUCUUUGGUGUUCCUCAUAGAUAUUCAGGCCAACGAAGCACUCGUAAAACUAUUGGUUGAGCUUUGGGAUCCAUCCACCACAACAUUUCAGUUUACAGACUUCGAAAUCACCCCAACUUUGGAAGACAUCAGUAGCCUCACGGAUUUUCCUCUUGAAGGAAGGUUGAUGUUAGUCCCAUUGGCCAUGGCAAUGGUUUUUUGCAUACUUUGGGUUUAUGAGAAGACCAUGCACCGAGGAGCAUCAGAUACGGUUGGUUUAACUUGGGUUACCUAUUUCAAAUAUUUGGAUAUCAAAUGAGCUAUGACCAUCACGAGAGGACUUCGCUUGUAGCUGAACUAGGUGGGAGAGUGUUCGCACCGUGUCUUUCGCACUUGCCAUACUGGGAAUUCUAGUUUUUCCUCGAAGAAGGGGACAUAUCAACAUCAACUUGAUGCCUUUGGCUCCUCCCAUGUUCAUCGGUUUUAAGAGAUUGAUGUUAGUGCCAAUACUGCUGGCAGGAUUAUUUCGAUCUUUGUCUGCUUGCUCGAGAGGGAAUGAUUUCUUUGGUGGAUGUAACCUGCUACUUUAAGUCUGGGCCGUAGAAUACUUCUAUCAACGAGCGCCAAUCGAAGAUAACUUAUAGGACGACCCCAACAUGAUAUAAAACCAUGAACAAAGGUUGAGAUUUUGGGAGGCACCACUAGGAUCAGAAGAAUGGUGGGCUUAUCUGACGUACCUCACAGGAGAUGCCAUCCAAUGAAAGCUUCCUGGGAUUACAGGGAAAGCACUAUUGAGAAGGUACACUAGUUAUUUUAUUGAGCUAAUUGGAUUGGAAGGAAUCCAACCGUACGCUCCACUUAGAGUUCAACGUCAAUUUGGCAUAAAACAAAAUAUCCCUUUAUGGUCGUCCAUGGAUCCAGCGGAAAUUACUUACGAAAAAUAAGUGCCUUGGGACAGAAUUACGAAGCUACAGGAAAUAUGGAUGAACAUAUCAGCAGAAAUUGGACAAACAACUUGGUACACCUCAGAGUAUUAUGCAUGGAAAGUAGAAGGAGGUCUAAUAACACGACCAAGCUGGGAAAGGAUUCCUGGGUUGGUGGACUACGACAUGGUGUGUCAGGUGGCGAGGGAAAUACUACCUCACAUGUAUCUUACCACCUCCAUGUACCAACAGGUAGUUCCGGGAUAGGUGGAUCACAUGAUUCCUCCAGACGAUAAUGAUGAUGUUAAGGAAGGCACAAACGAGGAAUUAGGCGACCAAUCCAUGAGGAAUGAAGAUAAUUCAGACUACCCAGAGUGGCUAAUAAAUAAUCAAGAUUUCAUGGACUAUUUUCUGUGCCCACGAGAUGACAAUGACAAUGGCCCCACUUGGCCUUAGACUUCCUUUCUUGUUACACUUUCUAUAUUCCCUAAAUAUCCAUAUGGUCAACCCCUUGUAAGCCCUUGCGGCCAUCCUUGUACUUUCUUUCUAAACUAACUUUGAUCUAUUUUAAUGUAACUAUUUGAAGCCUUUGUUUAAUGAAAGUCAUGUUUAUUCUUAAAUCCAAAUGUGUUUAAAUAAACCGUUUAUCAUCAAAUUGAUUGUAACGUAGGCCUACCUCUGGUGAAAAGAGGCUCUAUAUUAGGACGUGUUUGGAUGUUGUCAACUUGGCGUAUAUAUAUGUUACUUACUUGUUACAUUUUCAUUAUUACCCAAACUAACAUAGUUUUCUUUUGCUUUUUCUUUUCUUCCUUUCUUUUGUUUAUUAAUCCCGAUAAAAAAUAAAAAUAAAAAGUUGAUUUGUGUCGACUGAAAAACUGGUGGAAUCCCAAUACGACCUUCGAUCGAAAGACAAAAUGACUAAUAAAGAUAAGGCCGUGAUGAUCCCAGUAGAUGACACCGCGGGGUUCUAAAUGGCCGUCAGAUACUCAGAAUGAUGAUCAAAUGGCCAAUAUGGCACAGGAAAUUGAGGUCCUAAAGAAGAACUCCAUCAAAUACGGGAUCUAAUCAAGCUUACAAUAGCUAGCUUUCCCGCUCAGCCGCAGGCUCCAAGUAUUGAAUUACGUCCAGGCGUUUCCGCUAACCAAGCAAGUAUACCGCAUGCUCAAGACCUACCAGCUUUUCAACCUACUGUCGAAACUAUACCUACUUAUUCAUUUCCUACCCAGAACUUUACUAUUCCAAUCCAUCCAGAAAUACAACAUAUAUCCAAGGCAUAUGUCACUUGUGAGAUACCUGUGCCACUUAUAUAUGCUACCGAAGCUUCUGCUUUCGCAGCAUCUGCGACUCUUAAGGUUCCAUAUGAGGUUGAUGGAUAUGCAAGAUUGAGAAAAGAUGUCCAAUCAAGUGAAGAAGGGUCUAUAUCAUCCCAGCUUGAGAGUCUAAAGCGAGCAUUCAGACAUAUGCAAGUCACCAGGGAAACUGAAAGUUUGGACUACGAUGACUUAUGCAUUCAUCCAGACAUUGACAUGCCAAUGGGAUACAAACCACCAAAGUUCGAUGUGUUUGACGAAAAAGGUGACCCGCAUGCACACCUGAUGGCUUACUGCGACAAGUUGGUCGGGGUAGGAAGGAACGAGAAGUUGAGAAUGAAGUUGUUCAUUCAGAGUUUGUCGGGAGAAGCUUUGACUUGGUACAUCUGACAAGACCCUCGUAAGUGGCGUGACUGGCAGGAAAUGACUAAGGAUUUUAUGAUUCGUUUUAGAUUUAACACUUAGAUUGCUCUAGACAGGUUCUCAUUGGCUAAUAUACAGAAGAAGUCAUUCGAUUAUUUCAAUAAUAUGCAUGGCGAUGGAGGACCAAGGCUGUAAGGAUCCAGCCUCCUUUGGAUGAAAGUGAGCUCUCCAAAUAUUUUAUCCGAGCAUAAGAGAGUGUUUACUUUGACAAAAUAAUGUUGAUGAUGGGCCAAAAGUUUGCAGAAUUGGUCAAAAUGGGAGAUUUCAUAGAAGAAGCCAUCAAGUCGGGGAAGAUCCAAUCUAUGGUUGUACUGCAAGUAAGGCCAUGCAGAUUGCUUCCAUUAAUGGUAAUAAGAAAAAGAGGGAGGACGUCUCAACCGUCACACCAUACUACCGAUCGGGAAAUUCUUCCCACCAUUACCCUAACAACCCCCAAAUUAUUGCAUACGUCCCAGUGUAUAAUACUCAACCGCAUUAUAAUCCUCCUCGAGAUCCAGCAUACCAAAAUCCACCAAGACCAUACGCCCUUGUCCAAGCUCCAGCUCACCCAAAUAGACCAGCCUAUGCGCCCAGACCACGUCCAAAUUUUGAAGCCAGAAAUAUUUGCACUUACACACCAAUUGCAGAACCUUUGGCCCAGUUGUUUGAGAGAUUGAGGGUUUUCGGUUUUUUGCAUCCAAUUGAGGGGAAGGCCCCUGAUUUGACUUCUCAAAACUUUGACGAUAGCAAGCAGUGCGCCUAUUACUCAGGAGUCCAGGGGCACGAAACGGAAGACUGUUACAUCUUGAAGAAUAAAAUUGAGUCUCUGAUAAGAAGGGAUAUCAUCAAAUGCACCGUCGCAGCUCCCAAUGUGAACAAUAACCCUUUGACAAAUCAUGGAAAUCGAGAAGUCAACAUGAUUACUCUAGAGGAGGAGUACGAUUUGGAAGAAACUAUUAUGCCCACAUGAAGCGCAGAGGAGAUCACCACUGCAUCCCCAGCACAUCCAUUUAUCACAGUUCAGUUGAGGGAGCCUAUAACUGUUCUGACAUACCUGUCGAGAGUUGUAGUGAUCACAUCAGCCACUGGUAGGACCGACUAUGACACUAAGGCAGUCCCAUGGGACUAUCAAGCUAAAGCUAAGGGAAAAAUAAUAGACGUUGUUGCGGCUCAAGGGAUGACCAGGUCGGGAAGGUGUUAUGCGCCAGAGGAACCAAAUCGUGGAGUUAUCCAGAAAGAUCAAAACCCGAAGAGAAAUAUCACAGAUGUUGAAGCUGCAGAAUUUUGAAAGAAGAUGCAGCCCAAGGACUAUUCAGUCGAGGAUCAACUCAAGAUCAAGACACCGACCCACAUAUCCGUCAUGUCUUUGCUUAUGAGUUUUGAAGCCCAAAGAAAUACUUUGAUGGAAGUGUUAUCUGGGAUUAGCAUACCAAAAGGAGACAACUAGCGAAACUUUGGCCGCAACAAUCGGGCGAGUGGUAGAGGCAAAUAAGGUCUCUUUCCAUGAUGAUAAGUUACCGUCAGAAGGAGCUGCACACAACAAAGCGCUCUAUAUUACGGUCAGAUAUCAUGACAAGAUUGUGAACAGGGUCUUGAUUGAUAGUGGUUUGGGUUGCAAUAUCUUUCUGUUCUCCACUCUAAGAGAUUUGAGUGUAAAUAUAGAAGAUAUAAGGGAAAGUCAGGUUAAGGUUAGAGCCUUUGAUGGGUCGCAAAGGAGUGUCAUCGAGGAAAUUUACUUAACACUGCAGAUAGGACCAAUAGAAUUUCCUAUCCUAUUUCAGGUCAUGGAUGUGUCAUCUAGCUACAACCUGUUGUUGGGGAGGCUAUGGGUCCACAUGAAAAGAGUCGUUCCUUCCACUCUCCAUCAAUGCAUGAAGUUUGAAUGGGGUCAUACAGAAGUUACUGUCCAUGGAGAACUUAGUCAUCCUAUUUAUUAUGUCAAUUCAGUCCCAGUCACCGAGGAGUUAGAUAGAGCCACUUUUCAUACUCUGGAGAUCAUGAAAGCUACAAGGAUCAAUGAGAAGGCAAUGCCAGCGAAAGCAAAAAUAUCGAAUAGUAAAAAGAUGGUUGCAUCGGAGAUGUUGAAAUAUGGGUAUCAGCCCAAGACAGGACUAGCACCCAGAGUCGAUGGUAUAGUCGAGCCAAUCCAAUUAAAGCAGCAGAAGGGUACUACAGGGCUUAGAUAUGAGCCCAUUUUUGGAGUAGCCUGCAGUAAAGGAUUUGGAAUGACAGUAUUUGUGCCAGCCCGAGUCCCAAUUUCAAAACAAAUAGAAGAUGAAGAUAUCAUAGAAGGAAUAGGAAAUUUGUUUAUGGCCUGAUCGAAGAAGAAUCGGAGAUAGCUUUCAAGAAGCUCACCAUUCGUGAUGCCGAGCCUGGAGAAGCCUUGCAGAAAUGGACCAUCAGCCCAUCCCUGUUUCGCCAGGAGUCUUGGUAGUGUGGGACUGUUGUUGUCUUUUAAAAAAAAAUUAUUUUGUUUGCAUGAUCAAUUGAGGCUUGAAUCAGGCCUAAGCUCUUUUUUCACUUGCCUCUUGUCAAAGCCAGUGCUUUUAUUAAUAAAAGUCCUUAUUUUCAAAACUUAUUUUCCUAUUUUCAAUAUCUAUUUACUUUACUCGCUUUUUAUACUUUUCAGCACAAAUGUUAAUAAAAAUUCUUGUUCCACGAUUAUGACAUGUAACGAAUCUGUUGAGCAAAACACAAGUGAUGAGAAAGAUUACGAGGAGUAGAAUAAAAGCAUGAUGCCUGAAAACCUACCGCAGAAGAUCGAGCAACUUGAGAGUCAGAAGAAGCCUAAUAUCGAUGAAACUGAAGUCAUCAAUUUAGGUAAUAAGGAGACACUGAAGGAAACAUGAGUCAGCAUACACUUGGAAGAUGAAAGGAAACAGGAAUUGAUAAGGCUGCUCAAACAAUACAUCGAUGUGUUUGCUUGGUCUUACGACGACAUGCCUGGUUUGAGCACUGAUAUCGUCUCGCAUCGACUGCCGACCAACCCCUCAGGUUCACCGAUGAAGCAAAAGAUAAGGAAAUUCAAGCCCGAUUUGAGUUUGAGAAUCAAGGAGGAGGUGACCAAGCAGAUAGAAGCCAACGUCGUGAGGGUCAAAACUUAUCCCACCUGUCUAGCCAACAUCGUGCCCGUACCAAGAAGGAUGGAAAGAUAAGAAUAUGUGUAGUCCAAAAGAUGAUUUCUCUCUCCCAAGCAUUCACAUUCUCAUUGAUAAUUGCGUGAAACAUGAGUUGUAGUCGUUUGUUGAUUUUUUUGUGGGAUAUCAUCGAAUUUUGAUGGACAAAAAUGAUGCAGAAAAGAUAGCCUUCAUCACUUCGUGGGAAGUAUACUCUAACAGGGUAAUGCCGUUUGGGCUCAAGAAUGCCAGUGCAACGUACAUGAGGGCCAUGACUACUUUUUUCCAUGAUAUGAUUCUCAAAGAAAUUGAAAUGUACAUGGAUGAUGUCAUCAUCAAAUCUAAAAGGAGUUUAGACCAUUUGGAUGAUUUAUGAAAGUUUUUUGAAAGACUGCGAAGGUACGACCUAAAGUUGAAUCCAACUAAAUACGCAUUUGGAGUUCCCGUGGGAAAGUUAUUGGGAUUCAUUAUUAGUAGGAGAGGUAUAGAGUUAGAUCCAUCCAAGAUAAAAGCAAUCUAAGACUUACCACCUUCUAAGACCAAAAAGGACUUAAUGAGCUUCUUGGGAAGACUUAAUUACAUUAGUCGGUUCAUAGCUCAGUCCACAAUAAUUUGUGAACUAAUAUUUAAGUUGUUGAAAAAAGAUGCCGCCACUGGAUGGACUGAAGAAUGUCAGGAGGCUUUUGAGAAAAUCAAGGAAUAUUUGUCUAACCCACCAGUAUUGGUUCCACCAGAACCAGGAAAGUCGUUGUUGUUAAAUCUAUCCGUUAUGGAUAAUGCCUUUAGAUGUGUGUUAGGGCAGCAUGAUGAUACAGGGAGGAAAGAGCAAGCCAUUUACUACCUGAGUAAGAAGUUCACCCCGUAUGAAGCUAGGUAUACAUUGUUGGAGCGGACCUGUUGCGCAUUGACCUAGGUUGUGCAAAGUUAAUCCACUACCUAUCCGCGUAUACCACGUACUUAAUUUUGAGAAUGGAUCUACUCAAAUACAUCUUUCAGAAACCAAUGCCUACUGGAAAAUUAGCAAAAUGGUAGAUUUUGUUGUGUGAGUUUGACAUUGUGUACGUGACACAAAAAGCCAUCAAAGGACAAGCUUUGGCUGAUAACCUCACAGAAAAUCCAGUGGAUCAACAUUACACGCUGCUCAAUACCUAUUUUUCCUGAUGAAGAGGUGUUUUUGCGGGAGAGAACAUCUCAGAACCAUAUGAUGGAUAGAGGAUGUUCUUCGAUGGAGCAGCGAACUUCAAAGGAGUCAGAAUUAGAGCAGUCCUAGUUUCAGAAACAGGUCAACAUUACCCAAUCUCGGCAAAGAUUAGGUUUCCUUGCACAAAUAACAUGGUAGAAUAUGAGGCUUGCAUUCUCUGGCUUAGGAUGGUAGUAGACAUGGAUAUUAAAGAGCUAUUGGUGAUAGGAGAUUCAGAUUUGUUGAUCCAUCAGGUGCAAGGAGAAUGGACCACCAAGAAUGUCAAAAUCCUUCCUUAUGUGCAAUGUGUUAAGGAAUUAAGCAAAAGGUUUACGAAGAUCGAAUUCAAGCACGUCCCUCAAAUUCAAAAUGAGUUCGUCGAUGCCUUGGAGACACUAUCUUCAAUGAUUCAGCAUCCAGAUAAGAAUUACAUCGAUCCCAUCAAAGUGGAGAUACAAGACCAACAAGCCUACUAUUUCCAUGUAGAUGAAGAGCCAGAUGGAAAGCCGUGGUACUAUGACAUUAAGAGAUUACUUGGAGUAGGAGGAUAUCCAGAAGGCACUAUUGGAAAACAGAAGAGGACUUUAAGAAGGAUGGCCAAUCAAUUCUUUCUCAACUGGGAAAUCCUAUAUAGGAGGACUCCAGACCUAGGAUUACUAUGAUGUGUCGAUGCCACAGAGGCCACAAGAUGUCAGAGGAGAUACAUACAGGAACUUGUGGACCACACAUGAAUGAUAUUAUGCUCGCAAAAAAGAUUUUGAGAGCUGGAUACUUUUAGAUGACCAUGGAGAGGGAUAACAUUCGAUUCGUGCAGAAGUGUCACCAAUGUCAAGUUCAUAGAGACUUUAUACGAGUUUCGUCAAACAAACUCAAUGUGAUAGGUUCUCCUUGGCCGUUUUCUGCUUGGGGCAUGGAUGUUAUUGGGCCCAUAGAGCCUCCUACGUCCAAUGGACAGCGUUUUAUCUUGGUCUCUAUUGAUUACUUCAUAAAGUGGGUUGAAGCCUCGACAUAUAAGGUCGUAACCAAGAAGGUGGUAGCAGAUUUUGUUCGCAAUAACUUAGUCUACCGGUUUGGAAUUCCAUAAUCAAUCAUAAUAGAUAAUGGAGCCAAUCUUAAUAGUGACCUGAUGAGAGAGAUUUAUGAAAGGUUUAAGAUCUCUCAUCGAAAUUCCACGGCAUAUCGACCACAAAAGAAUGGAGCAGUUGAAGCUGCAAACAAGAAUAUCAAGAGGAUUUUGAGGAAGAUAGUGGAUGGUAAUAGAGAAUGGCAUGAGAAGUUGUCAUAUUCUUUACUUGGAUAUCACACCACAAUCAGAACUUCUACUGGGGCAACUCCCUACAUGUUGGUUUAUGGGUCAGAAGCAGUAAUACCUGCAGAAGUGGAGAUACCUUCAUUAAGAAUUAUCCAGGAGGUUGGUCUAGAUGACGCCGAAUAGAUUCAUAGUAGGAUCAAGCAGUUGAUGUUUAUUGAUAAAAAGAUAUUAGACGCAGUCUGUCAUGGUCAACUCUAUCAAAAUAGAAUGAUUAAGGAAUUCAACAAGAAGGUCAAGCCUCGACGAUUCACACCAAAACAGUUGGUAUUGAAUAAGAUAUUCCCUCACUAAGAUAAAGCCAAAAGAAAAUUUGCACCAAACCGGUAAGGUCCUUACAUAGUUCACCGAGUACUCUCAAGAGGAGCAGUGAUAUUUGCAGAACUGGAUGGCACAGUAAGCACGAAGACGAUCAAUUGAGAUGCCAUCAAGAAGUACUACAUUUGAAGACAUUAGGAAUAGUAGUUAUUUCUUUCUUUGUACUUUUUCAUUUUUCUCCAAUGUAACAGAACUACGUAUUAGCCUGACUUCCCACGAUGGGAUACGUAGGCAGCCCACAUCGAAUUCGGUCCCUUCAUAUUUUUACCUUUCCAUUGUACUGAACUACGGCCUGACCUGAUUCUACUUGGAUAUGUAGGCAGCUUGAGUCAGGACCGGUCAUAUCGAACUACGUUAUGACCUGAUUCCUAUUUUAAGGAUACGUAGGCUGCCUAAGUCAGGCUCGUUCAUUGCACUGCAUAUUUUACUUUUCUCGUUGUAUUGAACUACGCCAUGACCUGAUUCCACUUGGAUACGUAGGCAGUUUGAGUUAGACUCGGUCAUUGCAUUUUAUUUUUCCACCCUCGAACUACAUAAAGAACUGAUUCCACUUGGAUACUUAGGCAACCUGAAAGGUUCGGUCUUACCUCUAGGAAAAUCUCCUUUGCUCAUAGUAUAGCCUCAGAAUAUAAGAGAUCUCGCCGCCAUAAUUAUCGUAGCAUCGACAGUCAGCUCCACUAGAAAGAUAAAGCUACAUGGGUCACGAUCGACAAAUGGAGGCUUAACGGAUUUUUGAACGUGUCAUAAUCUAAAAGUGAUAAAGGAUUACUAUAUAUGCUUAAUAUAUACGUAAUAUUUACGAAAACAUAUAUACAUAUAUGUAUUUUUCACCAUAAUUUCAACUUUUUCACUUACUGAGACUCCAGAUUCGGGAGUGAUUGAGCAACCGAGGGAGUGUUGGAGAAUUCCGUAAACAAAGCCAGGAUUCCCAAGUCGACACAAAUCAACACCCCCUCCCAACUAAGAAUGUUUCUUUGAGCGCAGGAAAAUAGGAAUUGAAAGACUACAUUAAGUCAAGAUUUGGGAUAGGAUCAGGGGCAUCAUGCAGCUUACCACUAUGACAUGAGCCAAAUAUUCUUCCUUUACUUUAUUCUUUUUACAUACAUUUAUACUAAUCCUCACAAACUCUAAGAGUUUUAUCCGAAUUCUUUUGCAGGUACAUUUUGAAGACCCGGGUCAGAAACUAAGAAAAGAGGAUCUUCAUAGAAAGAUUAGGCUAUUUACUACUCCCAACAAACUCCGC
rnacentral:lncRNA from 1 species